rnacentral:rRNA from 1 species
AUUGAACGCUGGCGGCAUGCUUUACACAUGCAAGUCGAACGGCAGCACGGGGGCAACCCUGGUGGCGAGUGGCGAACGGGUGAGUAACACAUCGGAACGUGUCCAGUUGUGGGGGAUAACCCAUCGAAAGGUGGGCUAAUACCGCAUGAGCUGGCAACAGGAAAGCGGGGGACCCGCAAGGGCCUUGUGCGAUUGGAGCGGCCGAUGUCCGAUUAGCUAGUUGGUGGGGAAAGCCUACCAAGGCUUCGAUCGGUAGCUGGUCUGAGAGGAUGAUCAGCCACACUGGGACUGAGACACGGCCCAGACUCCUACGGGAGGCAGCAGUGGGGAAUUUUGGACAAUGGGGGCAACCCUGAUCCAGCCAUGCCGCGUGAGUGAAGAAGGCCUGGUGUAA